rnacentral:misc_RNA from 1 species
GGAGCCCGCGACCUACGAAUGUUGGGUCGGGGUGCUCAGAUGGCGGAGACACUGGCAAGUUUUCCCUCGGCAACGGCCGGGUUCCUUCUAGUACAGCUGCCUUCGGGUGGUGGGAACGAAGCCCUGGUGCGGCUGAGGAAGAAUGUAAGCACCCUGUUGGGUCCUGAAAGAACAACCAGUGGUUGUUGUUUCAGAGACGUCGCUGGCCCUCCUUGGUGGGGGCUGGGAGUCUGCCAGGCAUGGCCUGGCCCUACAUACCGCCAACUGGUGUUGGGUUUGGUGUGGGGCGGAUCGGGUUGUGGGUUGGU